UACGUAGGGGGCAAGCGUUGUCCGGAUUUAUUGGGCGUAAAGAGCGUGUAGGCGGCCAUACAGGUCCGUUGUGAAAACUGGAGGCUUAACCUCCAGACGUCGAUGGAAACCGUAUGGCUAGAGUCCGGAAGAGGAGAGUGGAAUUCCUGGUGUAGCGGUGAAAUGCGCAGAUAUCAGGAAGAACACCCGUGGCGAAGGCGGCUCUCUGGGACGGUACUGACGCUGAGACGCGAAAGCGUGGGGGGCGAACAGG
rnacentral:rRNA from 1 species